rnacentral:rRNA from 1 species
AUUGAACGCUGGCGGCAGGCUUAACACAUGCAAGUCGAGCGGAGAUGAGGUGCUUGCACCUUAUCUUAGCGGCGGACGGGUGAGUAAUGCUUAGGAAUCUGCCUAUUAGUGGGGGACAACAUUCCGAAAGGAAUGCUAAUACCGCAUACGUCCUACGGGAGAAAGCAGGGGAUCUUCGGACCUUGCGCUCAUAGAUGAGCCUAAGUCGGAUUAGCUAGUUGGUGGGGUAAAGGCCUACCAAGGCGACGAUCUGCAGCGGGUCUGAGAGGAUGAUCCGCCACACUGGGACUGAGACACGGCCCAGACUCCUACGGGAGGCAGCAGUGGGGAAUAUUGGACAAUGGGGGGAACCCUGAUCCAGCCAUGCCGCGUGUGUGAAGAAGGCCUUAUGGUUGUAAAGCACUUUAAGCGAGGAGGAGGCUACUGAGACUAAUACUCUUGGAUAGUGGACGUUACUCGCAGAAUAAGCACCGGCUAACUCUGUGCCAGCCGCCGCCGUAAAAC